UUUUCAUCUCUACCAAUGGUUGGUAUAUGAGCUUGGUUCUUGUGAAACUGUAUGCAGAUGACUUUUGUCUAUGGACUUAGCCUUUGAAUAGACAUACAGAUCAGAUGCAGAAUAAUUGCAGAACAAUUACAUUGCACAUUGUACUGCAUAUUUUUACCAUUCAGCUACUUUAUUGCAGGACAAAAAUAAAUUUAUAUAAAAGUAAAUAUCUGCAUGCAGAUUGAUUUUACCCAUUAAACUUUUGAUCUGCAUUAAGGUAAAAAAAAGAACUGGAAAUUAUGCAGAUGACUAAUGAUUUUUUUUUUAUUGAUUAUUGAUAAGAACUUACUUUAUUAAUUCAUGCUAUUCAUUUUCAAACCAUCAAAUCUUUGAAAAUAAGAUUAAUAUUUUCAUUUUAUGAUAUAAUUUAUUUUUAAAGGAGUUUAGCUUAUAAAAUUACAAAUAAAUUUAUAAAUACAUUUACAUAAAUUAUAUA
rnacentral:lncRNA from 1 species